GGACAGUUAGCUCAGUUGGUUAGAGCAACAGACUCAUAAUCUGGAGGUCCCUGGUUCAAGCCCAGGCUGGUCCA
rnacentral:tRNA from 1 species